CCUACGGGAGGCAGCAGUGGGGAAUAUUGCACAAUGGGGGAAACCCUGAUGCAGCGACGCCGCGUGAGUGAAGAAGUAUUUCGGUACGUAAAGCUCUAUCAGCAGGGAAGAAAAUGACGGUACCUGACUAAGAAGCCCCGGCUAACUACGUGCCAGCAGCCGCGGUAAUACGUAGGGGGCAAGCGUUAUCCGGAUUUACUGGGUGUAAAGGGAGCGUAGACGGCAGCGCAAGUCUGGAGUGAAAUCCCAUGGCUUAACCAUGGAACUGCUUUGGAAACUGUGCAGCUAGAGUGCAGGAGAGGUAAGCGGAAUUCCUAGUGUAGCGGUGAAAUGCGUAGAUAUUAGGAGGAACACCAGUGGCGAAGGCGGCUUACUGGACUGUAACUGACGUUGAGGCUCGAAAGCGUGGGGAGCAAACAGGAUUAGAUACCCCAGUAGUU
rnacentral:rRNA from 1 species